rnacentral:rRNA from 1 species
GACGAACGCUGGCGGCGUGCCUAAUACAUGCAAGUUGAGCGCUGAAGGUUGGUACUUGUACCAACUGGAUGAGCAGCGAACGGGUGAGUAACGCGUGGGGAAUCUGCCUUUGAGCGGGGGACAACAUUUGGAAACGAAUGCUAAUACCGCAUAAAAACUUUAAACACAAGUUUUAAGUUUGAAAGAUGCAAUUGCAUCACUCAAAGAUGAUCCCGCGUUGUAUUAGCUAGUUGGUGAGGUAAAGGCUCACCAAGGCGAUGAUACAUAGCCGACCUGAGAGGGGGAGCGGCCACAUUGGGACUGGGACACGGCCCAAACUCCUGCGGGAGGCAGCAGUAGGGAAUCGUGGGCAAUGGACGAAAGUCUGAACGAGCAACGCCGCGUGAGUGAAGAAGGUUGUCGGAUCGUAAAACUCUGUUGGUAGAGAAGAACGUUGGUGAGAGUGGAAAGCUCAUCAAGUGACGGUAACUACCCAGAAAGGGACGGCUAACUACGUG